GGUCCCCCAUGUUCGCUUUUCGACACGGCGUCCCGCAUGGUGAGCUGGAAGCUGCACAGGCGGUUUCACGCGGCAGCGUAGGCAUUCCAUGCCGAGCAGUUGGCAUGGCCGCCAUCUUUCGCUCAUCGUUCGAUCGGUGUAGCUGCGAACCGGUCUUCAUGUUAGGAUUCAUUCCAUCUGCAAGCCCACGUAAGAAUUCAUCGAUGCGGAGUUUCUUUUGAGGAUUUCGACGCAAAAAAAGAAUCGACGCAGGACCCUGUGCGUGCUGUGCCAUCCUUCGCACGCUCCCACUGAUGUGUGGAACAGGGGGGUAUAUCUUCACCCGUGGCAGCUACCCUGCGAAACCCUGCCUUCUCCAGUAUUUUGGGACACCCUCAUCCAGUCACCCUAGUCAACUUCUCAGUGGAUCGCUCAGGUUCCGCACCCACCAUCAGCAUCCAACGGAAUCGGCCGGGUCGACAGCGGCCCAACUCCACUCCUGGUCGGCUCGCAGGUUAACUUUAUCCCAGGUCACCACCGACCAUCAAUUAGGGGGUAAUACCUUCCACCAUUGGAAGGAAUAUCGACCCUGACAGGUCUCAAUCCCGGGAUCUCCCGGGGGCAAUGGUCGCGCGUUACCAGUAAUGCGAAACCCUUGUAUGUAUCCUAGAUGACGUUGCCCAUGUGUGCUUAUCAGAUCUUUAUUCUCUAGGUGUUAAACGCCUUAUGGGCGAUUAAUCAUAUCACUCCGCCGACUGCAGAGCACUGUGGAGUACCAGAAGCUCCUUAGCAUCCUGUUUAUGAAAAAUAUGAAAUCCCUUCCUAAGCUUGUUUAUGCAGGCAAGGUUUUAACAGCUUUCCAUCGCGAAUUGAGCGCGUAACGCGAACAGGUAGUGUCGAGCAUAAUUCAAAGUCUCUAAGGUGCAUAUAGUGUCCAAAUGCUUUCCAUGUGCCGGAUGUUUGCUUGCGACAGACUCCAUUACUAAACUGGCCUUCCUCAUAUCCAGCUGCUC
rnacentral:lncRNA from 1 species